rnacentral:snRNA from 1 species
GGCUUUGUGCAGUGGCAGUAUCGUAGUCAAUGAUGUUUAUCCGAGGCACAAUUAUUGCUAAUUGAAAACUUUUCCCGAAAAACAAUAGCAAAAAACAUGUAUAAUUUAUGUGUAUAGAAUCAAAAAUA